rnacentral:rRNA from 1 species
AUUGAACGCUGGCGGCAUGCUUUACACAUGCAAGUCGAACGGCAGCACGGGAGCAAUCCUGGUGGCGAGUGGCGAACGGGUGGGUAAAGUAUCGGAACGUGCCCAGUCGUGGGGGAUAACGUAGCGAAAGUUACGCUAAUACCGCAUACGAUCUAUGGAUGAAAGCGGGGGAUCGCAAGACCUUGCGCGAUUGGAGCGGCCGAUAUCAGAUUAGGUAGUUGGUGGGGUAAAGGCUCACCAAGCCGACGAUCUGUAGCUGGUCUGAGAGGACGACCAGCCGCACUGGGACUGAGACACGGCCCAGACUCCUACGGGAGGCAGCAGUGGGGAAUUUUGGACAAUGGGCGCAAGCCUGAUCCAGCCAUGCCGCGUGCAGGAUGAAGGCCUUCGGGUUGUAAACUGCUUUUGUACGGAACGAAAAGGUUUGACUUAAUACGUUGGACUCAUGACGGUACCGUAAGAAUAAGCACCGGCUAACUACGUGCCAGCAGCCGCAGUAA